rnacentral:lncRNA from 1 species
GCACGGCAUGGCCCCCCGUCCUGGCACCCGGAGCUGUGCGGGCUUCGCUGGGGGCUUGGUUGCCCGCGGGCGCGGAGCUGCGGGCGAAGCCGGAGCAGGGGCGGACGCGGAAGCCGGAGCCCGCCAGGCACUCGAGCCACGCGCCUGCAGCCGCUGGAGCCGGAAUCCUGCCGGCUCGGGUUGAUUUGUAAACAAUGGGUGACGUCGCGCCGGGCCCUACCACCGCACCGGGGCGGGGGUGACGCGCGAGCAGGCACGGGGGCAAAGGGCGGCGCGGGCGGUGACCGAAGCCGUCCCGCGCCUGUGUUCGUUGUCCCUCCAGGAGGGGGUCCGGGGCGUGGGGACUGAUUUCCGACCUCCCGGGCCCAACGAGCCGUGCUGAAACGUGGCGCCUCGGAGGAGGCUGAGAUUCCUGCAGGUAGACACCAAGGAUCUCCUCAGAGCCAGCGCUGAUCUCAUCCACAGAGGGAUCACAUGACCUCAUCUGGGAAAAUAUAAACCCUACCCACCUGCCUGCCCAUUUGGAAAUGCAGACUGGAGGACGCUAAGUUCAUUCUUACCUAUGUACUAACAAGUACACAAGAAGAUGCUCAAUAUCAUUAGUCCUUGGGGAAAUGCAAAUUAGAUUAUAAUGAGAUUCCAGUGUACACCCACUAGAAGGCUAUUAAAAAGGACAAUACCAACUGUUGGCAACAAUGUGGAGAAAUGGAACCCCUCCUACGUUUCUGAUGAGAAUGUAAAAUGGUGCAGAUACUUUGGAAAACAGUUUGGCAAUUUAUUAAAAGAUUAAAUAAGCAUAAACUUAC